CCCUUAGAUGUUCUGGGCCGCACGCGCGCUACACUGAUGCAUUCAACGAGUCUAAAACCUGGUCUGAGAGGGCUGGGUAAUCUUUUGAAAGUGCAUCGUGAUUGGGAUAGAUGAUUGCAAUUCUUCAUCUUCAACGAGGAAUGCCUAGUAAACGCAAGUCAUCAGCUUGCAUUGAUUACGUCCCUGCCCUUUGUACACACCGCCCGUCGCUCCUACCGAUUGAACGAUCCGAUGAAAACUGUGGAUUGAGAGUCUGAGUGGGUUCGCCUACCUCAACUUUCGAGAAGCGGUUUAAAUCUCAUCGUUUAGAGGAAGGAGAAGUCGUAACA
rnacentral:rRNA from 1 species